GAGCGCGCACACAAAGAAGAUAGUAAUAAACAAUCCUCAAUUUGUUCGAUGUUCGGAAGUUUUUGCAAUAUUUCUUGUUUUGAAAAGUUCAAAAAAUCGUAAAUGACCAAAUCGUUGGUCGAGCCGACGAUAAUCACGAUAGUGUACCGCAUUUUCACUGCAGCAGUAUGUCGAAGUGCAACGUCCCGCGAUGCCGGAGCAGAAAAAUUUUGAAGAAAGUCGGAUAACUUUCCACCAUUUUACGACCAACAAAUUGUUGAGACGGAAAUGGUUAAACUUUUUCGAAUACAACAGCUCGUUUGAUACGCGAAACAUAUUUGUUUGUUCGCUUCAUUUUUCGCCGGAUUCUUUUGGGGAUACUGUUUUAACCUAUAAUCAGCAAAGAAGACGUCUUCGUACUGGAGCUGUUCCAUGCAUUUGCUUCUUGGAUCUUCCAAAACGUUCCGUUUCAAUGGUUUCAUACGAAAUUCCAAAUUUAUACAUUCACUUCUUGCGAAAGUGCAAAAUAUUUAUUUGCAAUCACUUCGGAAGAUGAUCCGGGAUGGAGAAAAUGUUUUUCUCGUUUUCCAGAAACGCCAAUUUGGUCCCUUAAGCGGCCCCACUACGGCUGAACACUCCAAACUGAGACCAAUGAAAGCGUCGCGAUGAUUCAUGAUGGAUGCUUCAAUGAAAGACAAAAAAAUCAGCAGUGUUCAUCUUUCAUCAUAUUAUCAAAUUGCGGGAACGACACUGCUUCGAUAUAACCUCUCCACACAUUUGUUCAUCGUUUUUUUGCGUUAUUUUUAUAAUACAGAUGCGAUAAUUUCACUGUUUUUAGUUUUAAAAUGAUUAACUGUUGUUUCAUCACCUGGAAACAUAUUUUGAGACAGUUCUUUUGUUACAAUUUAAAAAAAAUUCAAAAAUGUUCGAAUUUAUAUGAAUUCAAUCGAUGGUUUAUUACAAUUUUUUGCUUUUUUUUCUUUGCCUACCACUACAUGAUCAAAGCAGGGAGGAGACUACCUUCUAUUCUACGUACUUUGAUUGACGACAUCGAGCUUCGUGUUGCGGACAUGCGAGAAUGAUAGCCGCGCGAGAUAGCUGGUGGAUGAUAAUCCAGACGACCGGAGUUCGAACCCACAUCGGAGCAGUUUUCACCAAACAUUAAUCUGUGCCAUUUUAAACAUUCAUAUUCCACGCCCAACACAAGUCAAUCAAAUAAUUAUAAUUUCUACAAACAUAAAUACUCAUAUAUAAAAA